UGGGUUGGUAAAUCUCGUGCCAGCAACCGCGGUUAUACGAGAGGCCCGAAUUGAUAAAACACGGCGUAAAGUGUGAUUAGAGACAAUAACUAACUAGAGCCAAAUACCCCUUAUGCAGUCAUACGCCAUGGGGGUCACGAAGACCAACAACGAAAGUGGUUCUACAAUGCUUGAACUCACGACAGCUAGGGCACAAACUGGGAUUAGAUACCCCACUAUGCCUACCCUUAAACCAAGAUGACAGAACCACAAACCUCAUCCGCCAGGGAACUACGAGCCCCCGCUUAAAACCCAAGGGACUUGGCGGUGCCUCAAACCCACCUAGAGGAGCCUGUCCUAUAACCGAUAAUCCCCGUUAAACCUCACCCCUUCUUGUUAUUUCCGCCUAUAUACCGCCGUCGCCAGUUUACCUUUUGAGAGAAUAAAAGUAAGCAAAACGGGCAUUACCCAACACGUCAGGUCGAGGUGUAGCGAAUGGAGGGGGAAGAGAUGGGCUACAUUUUCUGAUAACAGAACAUUACGAAGAGCGCAAUGAAAGAUGCGCAGCCGAAGGUGGAUUUAGCAGUAAAAAGGGAAAAGAGAGUCCUUUUGAAACCGGCCCUGAGGCGCGUACACACCGCCCGUCACCCUCCUA
rnacentral:rRNA from 1 species